AAAUGUAUCUCUUUGAAGAUGUGUAACAGUGGGCAGUCAAAACAAAAACAUUGCAAAGCUAUGAAUGGAAGUACAACUAAAGAAGCUGAAACAUAGAAAACUAUCAGAGAAAUAGAGUUCUCUUUUGGUACCGACAACAAUCAUCAAAGGUUUUAAAAUGCACAAGUCACAUCUGAUCCUGCAUCUUCCAGGCCGUAACCAAGACAUUUUUCAUGAUCAAAGAAAGCUCCUUGUUCCUGUCAAUGCCUUUUGUCCCCUCCAUCAAAAGCCAAAAAGAGGCCCAAUCAAUUGUAGACCAUGUACUUCGG
rnacentral:misc_RNA from 1 species